GAUACUGACGAGGGAGAGACGCAAAGAGCGUGUUCAAUAAAAGAGCCUCGUGGGAUUAGGCUGUCGAAAAGGUUUGUUGAAACAUGGUUGGCUGGUCAAACAAGGUGAAAAAAAGUGACAUGAUUUGUAUCUGGUGAGUACGGCUCUGUGUAUAAUUAAAAAUCAAUACCAAGACGUUUCUGUGGUAAAACUAAAAUGUUCCUGUGCGGCGAGGAAGGAGGUGAAGUGUGAGUGAAUAUCACGCCGUUUUUCCAGUUUUAGUGGUGUUGCAUAUUCUUGCAGUGUAAUACCCAUUUCAGAUAGAUGUGGUAUAUUACCUGUAAAAUAUACUGUAUAAGGCAAUGUUUAUAUGACCCCCUUUCGAUCAGCCCUUUAUUUACUACUUUCUUGCAUGUAAAUCUUUUAUACAUAGUGGGUAACUGGCAAAUUGUGAAGGGUGAGGGGGUGUAGUUAAACCAUGGGGGUAGGGCUGGGCUAUACAUUAAAUUCCAAAUGCCUGUAUUGCAAGAAUCUAGGUUUUCUUUUGUUUUUAUGAGUGUUCGGUCUUUGGUCUCGCUGCUUCUGUGUGCACUAUCCCACUCGCACAGACACCAAGCCCCUGCCGCUUACAGUACAACAACAAAAGACAAAGUAACUUCUUCCUCUCUGACAGCAAGCAGUUUAAACUCGCUAUUUGCAUUUGAGGUUUGGUCCAACAGAAUCGGUCAUAUGGACACAAACUAUUAGACAUGAUUUUACUGUAAUAGACGAGAAGUGAACCUUUAUUUUUGAGAUUUUUUACUCCCCAAUUUCGUGAUUUCCAAUUGCGAUCCAAUCUCCCCAACGGGCUCGGGGGAGGCAAAAUUCGAGCCACGCGUCCUCCGAAACAUGACUCGCCAAGCCACGCUGCUUCUUAACACCUGCUCGCUUAACCCGCACCAAUGUGUCGGAGGAAACACUGUUCAACUGAUCGACUGAAGUCAGCUUGCAGGCAUGAUGAGCCAAGGAAAGCGCCCCUGCCAAACCCUCGCUCGGCCAAAUGUGCGCCGCCAUAUGGGACUCCUGGUCACGGCCUGCUGUGACACAGCCUGGGAUCGAACCCCAGGCUGUAGUGACCCCUCAACACUGAGAUGCAGUGCCUUAGACCGCUGCGCCACAAAACUUAACCUUUUUAGGUCUCAGCUCCCACCAUGUGAAACAGAGCAGACCCUACUAAAACUUGCCCAUGGGGGAUCAUAAAGAGGGGACGGGAUCAUGUCAAAUGUCUCCACCUCGAUGAUCGUUCAGCCAUCACCACCGAUCAUCUUAAGAUGUCUCAAGACAAUAGUUGACCUACUCUCGUUAACAGGCCCUGCCAACCUCACGUGCUGCAGAGUAGACUGGACUUAUCCGAGUGCUGACCUUUAUGCAUGGUUAGGCUGACGAGGAUACAAGGAUGGAAGACAUGUCAGCAACUCAACUAAAUUAAGGCUGGACAUAGACAAAAGCUGGGGUCCUAUCUGGUGUCAAACAGUAAUCCCUCGUGGACGAUAGGGCUUUCUGCUUCAGAUUAAGGAAGAGCGGCUCUGAGAUCUGAGAUCCCCAAACAAGAGAUGACUAUCUGUCUGUAAAGACUUGAAGAUAGGAGUUGUUUGGAGCUCUACACCACCUUCACCACCAGUUAUUUUGUUGCUUCUGAAAUUGUUAUUUUUGGUCAAUAAAUCUCGAUUACUUUGAUUUGGUGUCCAUCACAAUUGGUGCUAUGGAUGUGCAUGAGAGUUGCAGAGUG